GCAUUUAUUAAAGAAAAACAGAGUAUUAAAGCUCACUUCCUCGAGAAAGUCAUCAUCUGCCUCGUUAACUGUCCAGCCAUAAUUACUUGACAUUUUAUCUUUACCAGAAGCCCUUUUUUCCAUCCAAAACGCUCCCCUAAUUUUCAAUUAAUCAUUUCAAUAAAAAAAACAUUUCUUCUCCAAUGUUUUGAUUCCUAGGGAGCAAACAUUGUGUUCCUCACAAAACUUCAAUAUGGUUCUCUGAUCAAAUCAUCUUCUAGAGCUUUAACUGUGAAUCUUGGUAUUGAGCCUUCCAGGUAUAACCUUUCCCUUUUCUCCAAGCUUUUAGAGGCUAUUUUGUCUGCCAGAUUAUUUAGUAUGUGAUGAAUAUGUUGGGAUUUGACAGAUCUAAACUCACUCUGUAAAGCCUUUAUGUUUUGGAUAAUAGAACAUAUUUCUGAUUUGUCUCUAGAGUUUGAAAUGCAUUUCUUAAUGACUGGUACCGAGUCCUCUUCAAUAUAGAUGUUACGAUCUUUCAUUUUUAACCCCAGUUUAACUGCCUCUAAACAUGCAUGUGCUUCUGCUGCGAAAGCCGAACCAACAUUUUCGUGGAUGGUCGCUCUGGAGGUGAUAAUUUUACCCCUUCCAUCUUUAGCAACCACUCUCGAACCUACUCUGAAAAGAUCUCUAUUAAAUCUGAGUCGAAGUUGAUUUUAAUAUCUUUUCCAGACGGGGGAGUCCAUGUUUCUCCGAUCGUUGCCUUGACCCAAAGGCAAACACAAAUCACUUGCCUCUGGGGAUUUGAAUAGUUACCAAAAGCCCAAGGCAGUGAAGGAGGAAAUGUGAUGUAUUUUCAGCUUCUUUCCGAUAUUGUGGAUGUAAAACCCCUAACCCGUAUCCAUCACCGGAGUGGGGUUACGAGACGAUGUGUACCAAGAACACUCACAAUGGCUCACGCCUCCAGGCUAGUUCAUCUUCAAGGUAUUGUUGCCAAUAGGAUUCGAAGGAUCCUUCCCGCAUUAGCCGCAGUAAAGAUGAAGAAAGAUGUGGGAUCGACCUUGAUCGGGGAAAGGAAAAGAUUGUGGACUAAAUUGCAAAAUUUCUUUAUUUUGUACCGAGUUUUGUCAAGUUGGCUAGGAGAUCGGGAACAGUCGGAGGCGUGCUCACACUAUCAACAAACUAUUUCGGUAUAAUGACUUAUAUAUUUUGGGAAUAUGACAUGUAUAGCAUUAUAAUCAUUUUGUGUAUAUAAUCUUAUGAUAUGGCUCAUGGAUGGCAUGGAAAUGUUUGAGAGUGAUUAGCUAUUGGAGUGGCUAAUCAAGAUUAUAUUUGAUAACACGUAUGCUUUAUGUGCUAACUAAUCUAUGGAAAUCCAUAAAAUGGUGAAAUUGGCUAUAAAACAGAAUUACACAACAGCAGUGACGUGAGUUUGAAAAAUAACUAAAAAUAGUAGAGAUAUAGGUAAAAGAGUUGUAUUUUAUGAGAUAUUUACAUUUUGGUGAAACAGGGUCAGAGCGAUUUCUGGAUUCCCUGUUCUGACUUUAUAAAUUCAUCAUAAAUUGUGUAAAAAUAAUUA